AAAAUCCAGCAUGAGGAAAGGUUAGCCGUCCACCUCAUAACUGAACCCCACACCCUGUCUGGUAACAGACUGAUGUGAAGCUGGGGGGAAGGGAUACCAGGCCGCAAUAUAAUGGAAGUGAAGGUUAUAAGCCCCGAAAUUCUGACGAUCUUGGAAGCCGAAUUUAUCCAUGUAACUGAAGGCAGCAAUCACAACAUCGCUAUUAAGCAACUCCAGUCUUGGAAUAUAGCGGAGAGCUCUGCGGCACGGCAAGGUGAUGUGAGUCCAACGGGGUCUAAGACCG
rnacentral:ncRNA from 1 species